rnacentral:rRNA from 1 species
CCUACGGGGUGCUGCAGUGGGGAAUAUUGGACAAUGGGCGAAAGCCUGAUCCAGCCAUGCUGCGUGUGUGAAGAAGGCCUUCGGGUUGUAAAGCACUUUCAGUGGGGAAGAAAGCCUUGGGGCUAAUACCCUCGAGGAAGGACAUCACCCACAGAAGAAGCACCGGCUAACUCCGUGCCAGCAGCCGCGGUAAUACGGAGGGUGCGAGCGUUAAUCGGAAUUACUGGGCGUAAAGCGCGCGUAGGCGGUCUGAUAAGCCGGUUGUGAAAGCCCCGGGCUCAACCUGGGAACGGCAUCCGGAACUGUCAGGCUAGAGUGCAGGAGAGGAAGGUAGAAUUCCCGGUGUAGCGGUGAAAUGCGUAGAGAUCGGGAGGAAUACCAGUGGCGAAGGCGGCCUUCUGGACUGACACUGACGCUGAGGUGCGAAAGCGUGGGUAGCAAACAGGAUUAGAUACCCCGGUAGUC